GAUGAACGCUGGCGGCGUGCCUAAUACAUGCAAGUCGAGCGAACAGACGAGGAGCUUGCUCCUCUGACGUUAGCGGCGGACGGGUGAGUCACACGUGGAUAAACUACCUCUAAGACUGGGAUAACUUCGGGAAACCGGAGCUAAUACCGGAUAAUAUAUUGAACCGCAUGGUUCAAUAGUGAAAGAAGGUUUUGCUGUCACUUAUAGAUGGCUCCGCGCCGCAUUAGCUAGUUGGUAAGGUAACGGCUUACCAAGGCAACGAUGCGUAGCCGACCUGAGAGGGUGAACGGCCACACUGGAUCUGAGACACGGUCCAGACUCCUACGGGAGGCAGCAGUAGGGAAUCUUCCGCAAUGGACGAAAGCCUGACGGAGCAACGCCGCGUGAGGGAUGAAGGUCUUCGGAUCGUAGAACUCUGUUAUUAUGGAAGAACAAAUGUGUAAGUAACUAGGCACGUCUUGACGGUACCUAAUCAGAAAGCCACGGCUAACUACGUG
rnacentral:rRNA from 1 species